rnacentral:tRNA from 2 species
GCCGAUGUGGUGGAAUUGGUAGACGCGCCGGAUUCAAAAUCCGGUUCCUUCGGGAGUGACGGUUCGAUUCCGUCCAUCGGCACCA